rnacentral:rRNA from 1 species
GACGAACGCUGGCGGCGUGCUUAACACAUGCAAGUGGAGCGACGAACCAGGGCUUGCCCUGGGGCAAAGCCGCGAACGGGUGAGUAACACGUGGGUAACCCACCCCGAUGAUCGGGACAACCCGGGGAAACUCGGGCUAAUACCGAAUGUGCUUCAGGUUCAUGAGGACCUGACGUAAAGAUAGCUUCGGCCUUCGCAUCGGGACGGGCCCGCGCCCCAUUAGCUUGUUGGUGAGGUAACGGCUCACCAAGGCGACGAGGGGUAGCUGGUCUGAGAGGACGGUCAGCCACACUGGGACUGAGACACGGCCCAGACUCCUACGGGGGGCAGCGGUGGGAGAUCUUGCGCAAGGCGCGAAAGCGUGACGCAGCAACGCCGCGUGGGGGAAGAAGGCCUUCGGGUUGUAAACCCCUUUCAGUUGGGACGAAGCUCCGUCGGUGAAUAGCCGGCUGGAGUGACGGUACCUUCACAAGAAGCCCCGGCUAACUACGUGCCAGCCGCCGCGGUAA